ACUCCUACGGGAGGCAGCAGUGGGGAAUAUUGCACAAUGGGCGCAAGCCUGAUGCAGCCAUGCCGCGUGUAUGAAGAAGGCCUUCGGGUUGUAAAGUACUUUCAGCAGUGAGGAAGGUGGGUAUGUUAAUAGCAUAUUCAUUUGUACGUUAGCUGCAGAAGAAGCACCGGCUAACUCCGUGCCAGCAGCCGCGGUAAUACGGAGGGUGCGAGCGUUAAUCGGAAUUACUGGGCGUAAAGCGCAUGCAGGUGGUUGUUAAGUCAGAUGUGAAAGCCCGGGGCUCAACCUCGGAAUUGCAUUUGAAACUGGCAAACUAGAGUACUGUAGAGGGGGUAGAAUUUCAGGUGUAGCGGUGAAAUGCGUAGAGAUCUGAAGGAAUACCGGUGGCGAAAGGCGGCCCCCUGGACAGAUACUGACACUCAGAUGCGAAAGCGUGGGAGCAAACAGGAUUAGAUACCCCUGGUAGCGACUGA
rnacentral:rRNA from 1 species